rnacentral:rRNA from 1 species
UACGAAGGGGGCUAGCGUUGUUCGGAAUUACUGGGCGUAAAGCGCGCGCAGGCGGUCCUUUAAGUCGGGGGUGAAAGCCCAGAGCUCAACUCUGGAACUGCCUUCGAAACUAGAGGACUUGGGUACGGGAGAGGUGAGUGGAAUUCCGAGUGUAGAGGUGAAAUUCGUAGAUAUUAGGAAGAACACCAGUGGCGAAGGCGGCUCACUGGCCCGGUACUGACGCUGAGGCGCGAAAGCGUGGGGAGCAAACAGG